GAGAUAGGGGCGAAAAGGACUUUUAAUCUGUAGGUCCUGGGUUCGAGUCCCAGCGCGCUCACCA
rnacentral:tRNA from 1 species